AAACCAUGAUGGGGGCACCUUCUAAGGAGAUCCUUGAAUCUCUUAUAGGCUUGAAACAAUGUUUCAGACUCCCCUUGUUUAAAGGCUGAAAUUUUUUGUCUUAAUUU